rnacentral:rRNA from 1 species
GAUGAACGCUGGCGGCGUGCUUAACACAUGCAAGUCGAGCGGAGUUAUUUGGAUUGAGAGCUUCGGCAGGAUUUUCAAAUAACUUAGCGGCGGACGGGUGAGUAACGUGUGGGCAACCUGCCCUGUACUGUGGGAUAAUCACGGGAAACUGUGACUAAUACCGCAUAAUAUCACUACGAGGCAUCUCGAAGUGAAGAAAGGAUUUAUUCGGUACAGGAUGGGCCCGCAUCUGAUUAGCUAGUUGGUGAGAUAACAGCCCACCAAGGCGACGAUCAGUAGCCGACCUGAGAGGGUGAUCGGCCACAUUGGGACUGAGACACGGCCCAA